rnacentral:rRNA from 1 species
UACGGGGGGAGCAAGCGUUGUUCGGAUUUACUGGGCGUAAAGGGCGCGUAGGCGGCGCGACAAGUCACUUGUGAAAUCUCUGGGCUCAACCCAGAACGGUCAAGUGAUACUGUCGUGCUAGAGUGCGGAAGGGGCAACUGGAAUUCUUGGUGUAGCGGUGAAAUGCGUAGAUAUCAAGAGGAACACCGAUGGCGAAGGCAGGUCUCUGGGCCGAUACUGACGCUGAGGAGCGAAAGCGUGGGGAGCGAACAGG